UGCAGGACAAGUUCCCAGGCUAGAGCCACAGGCUGGAAGGUGAAGGAUAGGGUGGAACUGGAGAUCCAGUAAGUCAAGGUCCUGUGUGUCAGGCUCACAAGGCUCCAAGUCAGAGCAGGCAUCCUAGCUGGAUGGCCAAGUCGAGGUGUAUGGGGGGAGCUGGUCUCCUGCUCUACCUUGCUUGUGCUUGAGCUCUAAGGGCCUGCAAGAAGAGAGUGAGUCUGGUCUCUCUGCAUCCUCCAUUGUCUCAGGAUGGCUGCAUCUUUGAGAGGAGUAUAAAGACCCAUGUCUUUGUUGAGUAAACUGACAGGAACACCAAGACCAAAGACAGGACAACAGCCAAGGAUCAGGUGCACUGUGGCACACACGCCUUUGAAGAUCAGAGUAAUGAGUGAGUCCAGCAGCAUGGAAGUGUGUGAAGCAGCAGAACUGUUCACAGAACUGUAAACAUCAGGCCCUCUCCUGGAAUCAUCUCCUCUUUAGAAGUUUGAUUAGAACAUCCAAUGCACAUACAGUGAGACUGAAAGAUGGGCAUAAAUUACUAACCAAACAAGAAAGAAGAACUGUCAUUUAUUAAAAUUGAUUCCUGAGAUAUCAGCUAAGAGGUUCAAAGAGAGAAUGCACUCCUACUUACUAAAAAGAGUUAAUGAUAAAACAGCCUCAAUCAAGUCCUUUAGGAGAGAUUCCAAAAGACUACAGUUCCAUGAGUGCUACAGCCCUGAAGAACUUCCAGUGGGACAAGAUGUGCUGGUGGAAGACAGUUAUGUUGAUGGUCCUGACCCUGUAGAGGCCUAGACUACUUUCUAUGUUUGCCUCCUAGUUUUCACAAUGUUUCAAUAGGAAGAACUAAUAAAAACUUAAAAAUAGCAAAAUUUGUAGAAUAAGAAUAGAAAGAAAAUAUUUUUUGUACAGCUGUGCAGUGUGCUUAUGAUUUAAAAGAGGUAUUAUUAUAAGAGGAAAACAGUUCAUUUCAAAUGUUUGCAAAUUUUAAAAGUUACAGUGAACCAAAGGUAAUCUCUUAUUGAGGAAACAAAAAAUUGUUACAAUUUUAAUGUCACCCAAAUGUACCAUUUGUAUUUACUCUAAGUAGCAUAAGGUCAUGUCCUUGACCUUCACAUGUACUCACUGAUUCAUCUGGAGCAACUUCUUGCCCUCUGGGUUGCAUUGGUGGCUAAUCCUCAUGACAGGUUAACUAUUUUUACCUUUGCAAUCAUACCUUUAUUGUACCCUUUUCUAUGUUCACAUAUGCGAAUAUUUACCCUUGUUUUACAACUUUUAGUGGCAUUGAAUACAUAGCAGGCCUAUAUAGUGUUGAUGUAUAGAAUGAUAGGCUACAGUAUAUAGCCUGAGUAUAAUAAGACCUACAAUCUAGGUUUAUGUUAAGUGCACUUUAUAUUAUUUGCACAAUGACAAAAUCAUAGAAUGACAUAUUUGACAAAACAUAUCCCUGUCAUUAAAAAAUUUAUGAGUAUAAUUAAAAUGAAAACUGAAAAAGGAGGUAUCACAAUUAAUGCCACAGAAAUGAAAUGAAUUAAAUUUGAUAAUAUAGAAGAAGUGGAUAAAUAUCAAAACACCAUGACUAAAUCAUGAGGAAAUAACAAUAUAACUAGAAGGGAGAUUAAACAAGUAAUUAAUACCUUCCUCAAAAGCCAAGCUCAGGACCGGAUGGCUUCACUGGUGAAUUCAACCAAAUAUUUGAAGAAUUAUACUGUAUGGUUCAUUUUGUCAACUUGAUUGAAUCAAGAGACAGGUGAUUAAUAAACACAAUUCUGUGCCAGUUCUGUGGGUCUUGAGGGUAUUACACAGAGAACCACAUCUGAUCCCUGGUCUCUUAAUCUCUCGACCUUCCUGUGCUCUGUGCUUCCUGGAUGCCAGCAGGUGAACAGAUUUCCUCUGCCUUGCCCUUCUACCGUCAUGUUUCUGCCUUCAAACCAGGCACUCAUGGACUGAAAUGUUCGAAACUGUGAGCCAAAAUAACCCUCUUCUCUUUUAAAUUACAAGUGACAAACA